rnacentral:lncRNA from 1 species
GGCUCCUGGACCAACCUUCCAGAGUCCGGUAGCUGCACAGCCCCAGAUCAUCCGGCCACGGACUGAUCCGGGAGGCCAGAAAGCCGGCAAGACGGAAUUGCCCGUCUUGGACGGUGCCGGCAGCGGACCGUCUGGGCGUCGGUUUGUGUCACUGGCAACCAUCACUCGCACUUAAACCGGGCCCAGGUGCCCAUAGAAGGCAGAAAUGGUGGACACGGAUCGCUCUCAAGGAUGCUCCGCUCCGAGCCCGUCACCUAGGAUCAUCUGGGCUGUUUCUGCUGUCCGGGGACGCCGCCGUGGAAGCGAUUCGGCAGGGCGCUCGCCACCAACCGCUCUCCAAGUUUGUGCUGAAUGGAGGCAAAAGGUUGGCUUUUCGCUUGCGGGGUGGUGGAAGGAAGCAGAACUUUGAUGACACUUCUCGGUCGGCUCUUGGCGUGUCUGUGACUGCCUUCGCUGAGAGGUGCGCUGCGGGUGUCCGGCGAGGAAGAAAGAAGGGUUCGCAGCGCGCGGGGCCUGGGCGUGGAGGUGCGCUUUGCGGCUCCGCUCCGCCCCGGGCUGCAGGGCCUGGACGGUUUCUGUUCAGUAGGGUGUGUGUUACGAGCGUGGAUAGGACAGAGAUCCAGACACAAAGACAGACAAGGCAUCAGUUACUGCAGUGGGCUGGAUCUGUGUGAACUCCGAGAGCGAGAUUCGGUAACUGGGUGCAGCUGGUGCGUGUGGCUCGGUGCACAUCGGAGUCUGUGCGUUCGAGGCUUGUGUGCGGAACUGGUUGUCCACGUGUUUCGACUGGGGUUGCCCGCGCUUGUGCCUCGUUCCUACCAGGUGCCAACCAUACUGCAGCACAGGAAUGGGAACUCAGCAGCAAAGGAAGCAAACAAGGUAGACAGACACAUGGAGUUUACAUUUCAGCGAGGAGACAGCCAUAAACAAGCAAAGAAGUAAUUCUCUCCAGACAAGGAUUUGUACCAUUACAUGAAGAAACUACAACAAUAACCACAGGCCCCAUGACAUCAUUACAUAUAAGGACAGCAGCUAUCAGACAAAGAAACCCACAUUUGAACCAGUGAUCUGUGAGAAGUGGGAUUCAAACUGGUGUGUUUGUCCCCCUUGAAAAGCAGGAAGAGGAAGGCGCUGGAGUGGUUUCUUUCAAAAUAAUAACAGAGCUUUCGUGACUAUUUCUGUGAGUGAGG